GGUGCUGUUUUUGGUGAAUUUGGAAGAUGAGGGAGAGAGAACGGAGGAUAUUUAGUGUGGAAUUGGAUUUCAUAUUAUUAUUUUAUAUUAAUAUUAUUUUGCAUGCUCAACUACUUAUAGUUUAUUUUAUAUUUAUUACGUAAAUUUUUUAAUAUUACUGCUGAAAUUUAUAAAUUUUUUAUUAUUCCACUAGCACAAUGCAUACA
rnacentral:lncRNA from 1 species